rnacentral:snoRNA from 1 species
ACGACCUUACUUGAACAGGAUCUGUUCUAUAGGCUCGUACCGUUGCAUCCUUUACCAACAAGGAGGCAAGCACUCAAGUCUGGUUGAUGAAUCCAUGACCUCUGGGCCAGAGCGUGAUUAACGGCCAGGAUGCAUCUCUGAAGUUUUGAAAUUGUUGGUAUAGACU